UAACACAGAAUCCAUUUCAACUGCCGGC
rnacentral:piRNA from 1 species